AUUGAACGCUGGCGGCAUGCCUUACACAUGCAAGUCGAACGGCAGCACGGGUGCUUGCACCUGGUGGCGAGUGGCGAACGGGUGAGUAAUACAUCGGAACAUGUCCUGUAGUGGGGGAUAGCCCGGCGAAAGCCGGAUUAAUACCGCAUACGAUCUACGGAUGAAAGCGGGGGACCUUCGGGCCUCGCGCUAUAGGGUUGGCCGAUGGCUGAUUAGCUAGUUGGUGGGGUAAAGGCCUACCAAGGCGACGAUCAGUAGCUGGUCUGAGAUGACGACCAGCCACACUGGGACUGAGACACGGCCCAGACUCCUACGGGAGGCAGCAGUGGGGAAUUUUGGACAAUGGGCGAAAGCCUGAUCCAGCAAUGCCGCGUGUGUGAAGAAGGCCUUCGGGUUGUAAAGCACUUUUGUCCGGAAAGAAAUCCUUGGCCCUAAUACGGUCGGGGGAUGACGGUACCGGAAGAAUAAGCACCGGCUAACUACGUG
rnacentral:rRNA from 1 species